rnacentral:rRNA from 1 species
UACGCCUACGGGGGGCAGCAGUAGGGAAUCUUCCACAAUGGGCGAAAGCCUGAUGGAGCAACGCCGCGUGGGUGAAGAAGGUCUUCGGAUCGUAACACCCUUUUGUUAGAGAAGAAAUUGCGUGAGAGUAACUGUUCACGUUUCGACGGUAUCUAACCAGAAAGCCACGGCUAACUACGUGCCAGCAGCCGCGGUAAUACGUAGGUGGCAAGCGUUAUCCGUAUUUAUUGGGCGUACAGGGAACGCAGGCGGCCUUUUAAGUCUGAU